UACGUAGGGUGCGAGCGUUGUCCGGAAUUACUGGGCGUAAAGAGCUCGUAGGUGGUUUGUCGCGUUGUCCGGUGAAAACUCACAGCUUAACUGUGGGCGUGCGGGCGAUACGGGCAGACUGGAGUACUGCAGGGGAGACUGGAAGUUCCUGGUGUAGCGGUGGAAUGCGCAGAUAUCAGGAGGAACACCGGUGGCGAAGGCGGGUCUCUGGGCAGUAACUGACGCUGAGGAGCGAAAGCGUGGGGAGCGAACAGG
rnacentral:rRNA from 1 species